UUAGAACAUGUUAGAAGGUAACCCAUUAAAAAAAAAAAAAAAAAAGGAACGUAUAGAAAAAAACAGGGAAUAAUAUUAAAGAAAACUAUUUGAGAGGGCUUAAAAGGGGAAAGCCCAAAUAGUAACAUUACAUAAGGGAAUAAUUAUUGGGCUUAACCUAUUGCAGCUAUGAUGAUUUUAUUCUAAAGUCCACUUGCGAUGAUGAUAUUUUGUUUUUUUUUUUUUUUUAAUACAUAUUCUUCCAACUAAACUUAUUUCAGAUGAUGAUGGCCUUUGAAUUUGAUUUUGAGGAGGAGGAAGAAUGGAAGACUCCUCUGUUGUAAAACGUCUACUUUUUCAUUCUACAAAAUGAUGGUGCCUGCAAGGUUUCUGUGGUUUCUUUCAGUCUCCCUCCCCUCUGGCUAUAGUUCUUCCAAGGUACAAACAUAAAUCCCCAAUCAAUGAAAUCUGAACUUGGUAAAGGAAGAGGAGAGUAUCUGAUUGUGCAAGUAAUGUGCAGACAGGAGCUUGGCCUAGUCCUAAUCCGUAAUAAUGCCACAAAGCCAUUCUACAUUUAUUUCUCAUGUCAAAUCAUCUAUUAAUUAUUCAUCUUCCUAUUUGUUUCUGCUCUUUUCUGAUGUAUUACGUCAACCGUUCAAACAAAUUAAUACCUUAGAAGGAAAAUAAAUAAACAUUUAACCAAAAAAUCUGAAAUA